GCGCAAAAGUGAGAGCACUCGCUUCCAACCAGUGUGGCCUGGGUUCGAAUCCCGGAGGC
rnacentral:tRNA from 1 species